UACGUAGGGUGCGAGCGUUGUCCGGAAUUAUUGGGCGUAAAGAGCUCGUAGGUGGUUUUGUCGCGUUGUCCGUGAAAAACUCACAACUCAAUUGUGGGCGUGCGGGCGAUACGGGCGGACUGGAGUACUGCAGGGGGAGACUGGAAUUCCUGGUGUAGCGGUGAAAUGCGCAGAUAUCAGGAGGAACACCGGUGGCGAAGGCGGGUCUCUGGGCCGAUACUGACGCUGAGGAGCGAAAGCGUGGGGAGCGAACAGG
rnacentral:rRNA from 1 species